GAAAAAACACUAGUGGUCGCCAAGUUGGUUAUUACACUCUUUAUCUCAGAGAGAGAAAACUGGAGGAAGGAAGAAAAAGGGUUUUAAGUUUGGAUGAAAAAAAUGGUAGAAAUCGAUGAUACAUCUCCAUCUACUGACAAAGAGACCUUGUUAGUGAACUACAUUGUUACUGGAAGUAAUGGAACUGAUCAUGACAUUGACAUACCAUCAAAGGGGAGGGUUUUUAAUGAUGAUGAUGAAAUCUACAAUUUUUACAAAGAACAUGCUAAUAAAAUUGGUUUUCCUGUACACAGAAGAUUUAAAAUGAACUGCAACAGACAGUUAUCAAAGCUAGCAUAAAAUGAAAACAACUUGGAUGAAAAAUGUAGAGAGAUAAUAGAUAAAGAUGGUGAAAGUGAAGGAGGUGAUAAAAUUUAGAGGUGUUGUACUCUUCCAUUCAAAGCUUGAUGAAAAGGUAGACAAAUAGCAUCAAAUGUAGGAGUGCAAUCUGGAAAGUGGUUGAUCUGUUUGGGAAUGUAGUGGUGGAAUCAAAAAACCUCUUCCUUCAAUGUCAGAAUGGCUUCUCCUCAGACAAGGAAUACUUGUGCUUGUAUGGGGUUUCUUCCAUUGAGCAGUGGAAGGUCAAAACAUGCACUCAUCAUUAACUUUGCUAGGGAUGCUGUGCGAGAGAAAAAGGCUGGUGAGCAGUAGUUGCAGACAACGGUGAUGACACACUACAUGAGUAACACUGUUAGCUGUGGGCAGUGUUUCUCAGAUCGUACAAGUGCUUUGUUGACAGUGCAGACUGUUAUUUUGGAACUGGCAUCCUUGCAGUUAGGGGGCGAAAGACUUAAGCUGCAUCCUCCACAAUACUUUGUAGCGACAAAUCUAGAUUUGCAAAAUGGAGUAGUUGAAGGAAACCAUACGAGUUGCUGAAGAUUUGAAGAUGGUUGCUGUCAGAGAGUACGAAAGAAUCAAGAGGCGCCGUUGGUGCUCUUAUACUACAAGGAGGACUACUUUUGAUGGUAUGUUGGGCGCUGGCUUGCUGAAAUCAAAAGGUGCGGGUUCACUAAACGGUGCGUUUAAUUAGAAUUCCACAAACCAGAAAUGUUAUGCCUACGGAAUUACCGACAAUUCCACACAUGCUGUGUUAGUCAAGAUCUAUCUUUGUUAAACCCCUGUGCUUCACCACCUGUCUUUGUGCAAGCACCUGCUGGGAAAGGAUUGGCCAGCUGCUAUUGAUUUUCUUAUGGGAGGAUCUGUUGUUGCUUAAGGGGGGAUGAGAGUGAGGAAAUUUUAGACUGCCAGAUCCCCUGCAUACGCGAGGACAGUGUUGUAUUAGUUGGACUUAUGGCUCAGUCAGAGCAUACGAGUGGUUCUGUCGAACCUAUUUCAUUUCAGUGAAGCUUAUUAAAUAGUAAAGGGGCCUUAAAGGUAACACAGAUCAAGGCGGUUAAGCUGGGAAACAUACCUCCGGGUGCUAUCAAGUGGACUCAUCCGAUGUCAAGGCACUUGUCUAUGUUUUCCGCAGUAGUGGUUGUCUGGUAGUAUCACUUUGUUGUGUUUGUCAGUAGAGUGUGGUUCAUCAUGCAUUGAACCCAGUCAAUAUAGAGGUGCUGAUGGUUUUGGAUGGAGAGAAGUAUGCAAAAGAUAUGCUAGUAUUAUGGUGGCGCUGCUGGUUUCAUGAGAUGUCCGGUUUGCAUAUUUUUCAUAUAUCCGUCUAAAGGUGAUAAAUGGAGUGUUACAGAAACUGAGUUAACCAGUGAUUUUGCCAUUUUCGCCAUUAUGCUUAACAUGGUUAUAUCAUUUCUAUAAUGAGUACGCUAAUGCUUCUUAUCACACAUGCUUAAAAUGAAUUUUGAACUGUUUCUCA